rnacentral:rRNA from 1 species
AUGAACGCUCGCGGCGUGCCUAAUACAUGCAAGUCGAGCGAACGGACGAGAAGCUUGCUUUUCUGAUGUUAGCGGCGGACGGGUGAGUAACACGUGGAUAACCUACCUAUAAGACUGGGAUAACUUCGGGAAACCGGAGCUAAUACCGGAUAAUAUUUUGAACCGCAUGGUUCAAAAGUGAAAGACGGUCUUGCUGUCACUUAUAGAUGGAUCCGCGCUGCAUUAGCUAGUUGGUAAGGUAACGGCUUACCAAGGCAACGAUGCAUAGCCGACCUGAGAGGGUGAUCGGCCACACUGGAACUGAGACACGGUCCAGACUCCUACGGGAGGCAGCAGUAGGGAAUCUUCCGCAAUGGGCGAAAGCCUGACGGAGCAACGCCGCGUGAGUGAUGAAGGUCUUCGGAUCGUAAAACUCUGUUAUUAGGGAAGAACAUAUGUGUAAGUAACUGUGCACAUCUUGACGGUACCUAAUCAGAAAGCCACGGCUAACUACGUG